CCUACGGGUGGCUGCAGUGGGGAAUAUUGGACAAUGGGCGAAAGCCUGAUCCAGCCAUGCCGCGUGUGUGAAGAAGGCCUUCGGGUUGUAAAGCACUUUCAGUGGGGAAGAAAGCCUUGGGGCUAAUACCCUCGAGGAAGGACAUCACCCACAGAAGAAGCACCGGCUAACUCCGUGCCAGCAGCCGCGGUAAUACGGAGGGUGCGAGCGUUAAUCGGAAUUACUGGGCGUAAAGCGCGCGUAGGCGGUCUGAUAAGCCGGUUGUGAAAGCCCCGGGCUCAACCUGGGAACGGCAUCCGGAACUGUCAGGCUAGAGUGCAGGAGAGGAAGGUAGAAUUCCCGGUGUAGCGGUGAAAUGCGUAGAGAUCGGGAGGAAUACCAGUGGCGAAGGCGGCCUUCUGGACUGACACUGACGCUGAGGUGCGAAAGCGUGGGUAGCAAACAGGAUUAGCUACCCGGUAGUC
rnacentral:rRNA from 1 species